rnacentral:rRNA from 1 species
UACGUAGGGACCGAGCGUUGUCCGGAUUCAUUGGGCGUAAAGAGCUCGUAGGCGGCUGUUCAAGUCGAACGUGAAAACUCGGAGCUCAACUCCGAGCCUGCGUUCGAGACUGGAUGGCUAGAGUCUGGUAGGGGGAUCUGGAAUUCCUGGUGUAGCGGUGGAAUGCGCAGAUAUCAGGAGGAACACCGGUGGCGAAGGCGGGAUCCUGGGCCCGUACUGACGCUGAGGAGCGAAAGCGUGGGGAGCAAACAGG